rnacentral:rRNA from 1 species
UACGUAGGGUGCGAGCGUUCAUCGGAAUUACUGGGCGUAAAGAGUGCGUAGGCGGUUCUUGAAGUCCGCUGUGAAAGCCCCGGGCUUAACCUGGGAAUGGCAGUGGAAACUGGAGGACUUGAAUUGAGCAGAGGGGGGUGGAAUGCCGCGUGUAGCAGUGAAAUGCGUAGAGAUGCGGCGGAACACCGAUGGCGAAGGCAGCCCCCUGGGCUUAAAUUGACGCUGAGGCACGAAAGCGUGGGGAGCAAACAGG